AAUCAACGCUGGCGGCGUGCCUAACACAUGCAAGUCGAACGCGGUUAGCCUGCAAGGGUUAACUGAGUGGCGAACGGGUGAGUAACACGUGGGUGACCUACCUUCGAAUGGGGGAUAACGUCCCGAAAGGGACGCUAAUACCGCAUAACAUCCUGCUUUUGUAACAGGUGGAGAUCAAAGACUGGGGAGUCGCAAGACCUGGCGUUUGAAGAGGGGCCCGCGUCUGAUUAGCUAGUUGGUGAGGUAACGGCUCACCAAGGCGACGAUCAGUAUCCGGCCUGAGAGGGCGGACGGACACACUGGGACUGAGACACGGCCCAGACUCCUACGGGAGGCAGCAGUGGGGAAUUGUUCGCAAUGGGCGCAAGCCUGACGACGCAACGCCGCGUGGAGGAUGAAGGUCUUCGGAUUGUAAACUCCUGUUGCCCGGGACGAAAAGCUUCAACCUAAUACGUUGAAGUCUGACGGUACCGGGUGAGGAA
rnacentral:rRNA from 1 species